UUGUGGUAAAAUAGAUUAGGGAAAGCUUAUAUAUCAAGUUGGGUUGUUGAAUUGAUGGUGGAAUUGAGCUUAAUUUGAACUUUGGCAAAAUUAGGGUUCAUGGAUUUGGGACUUUUCGAAAUUGAUCCUAAUUGAGUGUGUUAGUGGGUGAGUUAGUAUGUUAAGGUGUUGAAAGGUUUGAUUAGAGAACCCUCUCGUUCUAGAAUUACUUUGAUUAUUGAAUUUUACUUGUCUUGUAAUUUUC
rnacentral:lncRNA from 1 species